CCCUAGGACUUGUUCCUGGGCCACACCUGACUGAGGGUCGGUUGACCAAACUCAAAGACCAGACUGUUCUGAUUCGUCAGAGCGAGAUUGGAGUCUCCGCGCGCAAGCGUGGUACUCUUAAAAUCCUCAGGGCCGGCUAACCCCGACCCGUCAAAGAGAAAAUGCAUUCUGUCGUCGGUACGUCUUAUAAAGGAUGAUCAGAGAGCGCCUCCCGUGCGCUGACAGCCCUCAGACGUUCUGCCAAAAGCGGCGAGUGCGUGACGUUUCUUGUUUUUUUCCAAACUCGACGUCGCGUCGCCUCGUCUUGAAGACUUGAGGGUAUGCCUUAUAAAGAGCAACCGCGCAGAAAUUAUUGCAACAUCUCGCCUUUGCGUUUCGCCCCCG
rnacentral:misc_RNA from 1 species